rnacentral:rRNA from 1 species
AACGAACGCUGGCGGCAGGCUUAACACAUGCAAGUCGAACGCAUCCUUCGGGGUGAGUGGCAGACGGGUGAGUAACACGUGGGAACGUACCUUUCGGUUCGGGAUAACCCAGGGAAACUUGGGCUAAUACCGGAUACGUCCUUAGGGAGAAAGAUUCAUUGCCGAAAGAUCGGCCCGCGUCUGAUUAGCUAGUUGGUGAGGUAACGGCUCACCAAGGCGACGAUCAGUAGCUGGUCUGAGAGGANGAUCAGCCACACUGGGACUGAGACACGGCCCAGACUCCUACGGGAGGCAGCAGUGGGGAAUAUUGGACAAUGGGCGCAAGCCUGAUCCAGCCAUGCCGCGUGAGUGAUGAAGGCCCUAGGGUUGUAAAGCUCUUUCGGCGGGGACGAUAAUGACGGUACCCGCAGAAGAAGCCCCGGCUAACUUCAUGCCAGCAGCCGCCGUAAG